rnacentral:rRNA from 1 species
CAGCAGCAGCCGCGGUAAUACAGAGGGUGCGAGCGUUAAUCGGAUUUACUGGGCGUAAAGCGUGCGUAGGCGGCUUCUUAAGUCGGAUGUGAAAUCCCUGAGCUUAACUUAGGAAUUGCAUUCGAUACUGGGAAGCUAGAGUAUGGGAGAGGAUGGUAGAAUUCCAGGUGUAGCGGUGAAAUGCGUAGAGAACUGGAGGAAUACCGAUGGCGAAGGCAGCCAUCUGGCCUAAUACUGACGCUGAGGUACGAAAGCAUGGGGAGCAAACAGGAUUAGAUACCCCUGUAGUCCCUGUCUCUUAUAC